UUCCUACGGGACGCAGCAGUGAGGAAUAUUGGUCAAUGGCCGGAAGGCUGAACCAGCCAAGUCGCGUGAGGGAAUAAGGCCCUAUGGGUCGUAAACCUCUUUUGUCAGGGAGCAAAGGCGUCCACGUGUGGACGAGAGGAGAGUACCUGAAGAAAAAGCAUCGGCUAACUCCGUGCCAGCAGCCGCGGUAAUACGGAGGAUGCGAGCGUUAUCCGGAUUUAUUGGGUUUAAAGGGUGCGCAGGCGGAGGUGCAAGUCAGCGGUCAAAUUGCGGGGCUCAACCCCGUACUGCCGUUGAAACUGCAU
rnacentral:rRNA from 1 species